ACAUUGGUGGUUCAGAGGUAGAAUUCUUGCCUUCCAUGCAAGAGAUCAAGGUUUGAUUCCCAGCCAAGGCA
rnacentral:tRNA from 1 species